GUGGGGAAUAUUGGACAAUGGGCGCAAGCCUGAUCCAGCCAUACCGCGUGGGUGAAGAAGGCCUUCGGGUUGUAAAGCCCUUUUGUUGGGAAAGAAAAGCAAUCGGUUAAUACCCGGUUGUUCUGACGGUACCCAAAGAAUAAGCACCGGCUAACUUCGUGCCAGCAGCCGCGGUAAUACGAAGGGUGCAAGCGUUACUCGGAAUUACUGGGCGUAAAGCGUGCGUAGGUGGUUGUUUAAGUCUGUCGUGAAAGCCCUGGGCUCAACCUGGGAAUUGCGAUGGAAACUGGGCGACUAGAGUGUGGCAGAGGGUAGUGGAAUUCCUGGUGUAGCAGUGAAAUGCGUAGAGAUCAGGAGGAACAUCCGUGGCGAAGGCGACUGCCUGGGCCAACACUGACACUGAGGCACGAAAGCGUGGGGAGCAAACAGGAUUAGAUACCCUUGUAGUCC
rnacentral:rRNA from 1 species